rnacentral:rRNA from 1 species
AGUGGCGGACGGGUGAGUAACGCGUAAGAAUCUAACUUCAGGACGGGGACAACAGUUGGAAACGACUGCUAAUACCCGAUGUGCCGCAAGGUGAAACCUAAUUGGCCUGAAGAAGAGCUUGCGUCUGAUUAGCUAGUUGGUGGGGUAAAGGCCUACCAAGGCGACGAUCAGUAGCUGGUCUGAGAGGAUGAGCAGCCACACUGGGACUGAGACACGGCCCAGACUCCUACGGGAGGCAGCAGUGGGGAAUUUUCCGCAAUGGGCGAAAGCCUGACGGAGCAACGCCGCGUGAGGGAGGAAGGUCUUUGGAUUGUAAACCUCUUUUCUCAAGGAAGAAGUUCUGACGGUACUUGAGGAAUCAGCCUCGGCUAACUCCGUGCCAGCAGCCGCGGUAAUACGGGGGAGGCAAGCGUUAUCCGGAAUUAUUGGGCGUAAAGCGUCCGCAGGUGGUCAGCCAAGUCUGCUGUCAAAUCAGGUUGCUUAACGACCUAAAGGCGGUGGAAACUGGCAGACUAGAGAGCAGUAGGGGUAGCAGGAAUUCCCAGUGUAGCGGUGAAAUGCGUAGAGAUUGGGAAGAACAUCGGUGGCGAAAGCGUGCUACUGGGCUGUAUCUGACACUCAGGGACGAAAGCUAGGGGAGCGAAAGGGAUUAGAUACCCCUGUAGUCCUAGCCGUAAACGAUGGAUACUAGGCGUGGCUU